GGCGAGAUAGUAUAAUGGCUAGUACACUCGGUUCUGAUUACCCUGGUCGCUUUCCGAAGCCCCGAGCAACCACUUCCGAGCAAUCUGGGUUCGAUCCCCAGUCACGCCU